AGCAAUUUGGCGCAGUGGAAGCGCGGUAUGUGUGACCCACACUCAUAACCCGGAGGUCCUACGAUCGAAACGUAGAAUUGCUA